CUUGGUCAUUUAGAGGAAGUAAAAGUCGUAACAAGGUUUCCGUAGGUGAACCUGCGGAAGGAUCAUCAAUGAUUUGGGAGGGGGUGCACGAACGUGUUUUACUACUACCUCCUCUACCAACCUUGUGUGAACCGUGUUCUUGUGUAUGGUUGGUAUGUUGGUGGGCUACGCUAUUACACGUGCCCACCAACAGCAUCAUCCAACCAAAUUAUAUUACCUCUCUUUAACCUUUGUCUAAACAUAUUACACACAAAUAUUUAAACAACUUUUAACAAUGGAUCUCUUGGCUCUCGCAUCGAUGAAGAACGCAGCAAAUUGCGAAAAUUAAUGUGCAUUGCAGUACGUGAAUCAUCGAGUCUUUGAACGCAACUUGCACUCUGGACUUAUUCCAGAGUAUGCCUAUUUGAGUAUCGGUAACACCCCACUCGAGCCCUCAGGGGCUUGGAUUCGCUGAGUCAUGCGUGUGUGAGCGCUGACUUGAAUACCACUGAAUCGCGGGUCUAUGCAAUACCCCCUCUGUCUGGUGUUUUGACGUGAUAAUAACAUUUCUCGUCAGUCCCAUCCAAACACGGGGUCCAUAGAUCUAGUCACACCCCCCCACACAUACAUUACUCUCUUGAUCUCAAAUUAGGUAGGACUACCCGCUGAACUUAAGCAUAUCAAUAAGCGGAGG
rnacentral:rRNA from 1 species